rnacentral:lncRNA from 1 species
UGAUCAAAUUAUAACAAUAUGCUUUAAUAAAAAUGAUGUGAAUGGGGUCUUUCUCUCUCAAAAUAUAUUAUCAUACUAAACUCACCCAUUCUCUUGUGAUGAUGUGAGUGGAUAAAAUGCCUGCGUGAUCGGAGAUGAAGGGCGGUGAAUGACGCAGCCAUUGUGACGUAGCAUUAUGCUACUAUCGACCUUCUGAUGAUGCAUCUGCCUCUGGACUGUGGUUGACCAUGGAUAGCUGAAACCACAGAAAGCAAAGCUGAGGAUAAGUGGGACUACUGUAUAACAAAUAUUUACAUCAAAUGUGGGAUUUCUGUAUUUUGAUGGUAAUCAGUUGGGGAAACAACACAUGAAGACUAGAAAUAUAAAAUAAUAAUAAAUAAAAAUAACAGUUCUGAAACAUAACACAGCAGAUAUUACAAGGUAGAUCUCGCUGCAUCAUAUUCAGAAAAAUGUGGACUGUGGAAUGAAAGACACCAGGAUGGGAUUCCUAAAGUUCUUUGUCACGAUACCCACCCCGUUGUUGGGUUUGGUCAUAUAUUAUGUCCAACGUCAUGUGAGCAGAUGUGGCAUGGCAUAUGCCACUUCCGAAUGGACACCUACAUCGCUCUCUCAUCCCUCUGCCAUGAGAAUGUGCUGUUUCAGCUCAGAGCUGCACCUUCAGAAUGAAGACGUGUGCAGCAGACCCAACCAAGCAGUCAACUUAGGGCGGAGACCCAGGCAAGACCUGCCCAUGUACAUGAGCGGACAAAUGACACAAGAGAACAUGAGAGUUUAUAUAGACAGAAGAAAAGCUACACAAUGAGCCUGUGGGAGGUGGAAGGCCCCUCAGCUAAUUUUCCAGUCAGAGAAAUGCACUUAAUUUUAAAGCCAACAAAAGCAUGUAACAAGGAAGACCUACGUGGCUGCCACAAAGAAAUGAAAUGAUGAAUGGGACCAUCAAUAAUUCACAUGUUCCGUGUAGAUGUAACAGAUUGCCUGAUUGUACAAAAUGACUUCUAUCUUGGUGAAGAACCAACACAUUAUUCCUCAUGGGUCUCUUUGACUCCCUACCUUUGUCUUUAAUGUAUAAAGUACGUCUUGUUUCUGACAAAUGCAGUGCUGUUUGCUGGUCUUAAUAAAGGUCAGACGGAUGGACA